GAUGAAGAACGUAGCGAAAUGCGAUACGUAGUGUGAAUUGCAGAAUUCAGUGAAUCAUCGAAUCUUUGAACGCACAUUGCACCUCUCGGUAUUCCGGGAGGUAUGCCUGUUCGAGCGUCAUUUGUACCUUCAAGCUCUGCUUGGUGUUGGGUGUUUGUCUCGCCUCUGCGUGUAGACUCGCCUCAAAACAAUUGGCAGCCGGCGUAUUGAUUUCGGAGCGCAGUACAUCUCGCGCUUUGCACUCAUAACGACGACGUCCAAAAGUACAUUUUUACACUCUUGACCUCGGAUCAGGUAGGGAUACCCGCUGAACUUAAGCAUAUCAAUAAGCGGAGGA
rnacentral:misc_RNA from 1 species